CCUACGGGUGGCAGCAGUGGGGAAUAUUGGACAAUGGGCGAAAGCCUGAUCCAGCCAUGCCGCGUGUGUGAAGAAGGUCUUCAGAUUGUAAAGCACUUUAAGUUGGGAGGAAGGGUUGUAGAUUAAUACUCUGCAAUUUUUACGUUACCGACACAAUAAGCACCGGCUAACUCUGUUCCCGCCGCCUCCGUCAUACAGAGGGUGCAAGCGUUAAUCGGAAUUACUGGGCGUAAAGCGCGCGUAGGUGGUUUGGUAAGAUGGAUGUGAAAUCCCCGGGCUCAACCUGGGAACCGCAUUCAAAACUGGCUGACUAGAGUAUGGUAGAGGGUGGUGGAAUUUCCUGUGUAGCGGUGAAAUGCGUAGAUAUAGGAAGGAACACCAGUGGCGAAGGCGACCACCUGGACUAAUACUGACACUGAGGUGCGAAAGCGUGGGGAGCAAACAGGAUUAGAUACCCUUGUAGUG
rnacentral:rRNA from 1 species